GUGAGUCAUCGAGUCUUUGAACGCAUAUUGCACUCCUUUGGAGUAUGCCUGUUUGAGAAUCUAUAGUAUUCAUUUAGUCAGUUUACUUUCCAGUAAAUGACUGAGAUAUGAAGCGUCCCUUCUGGGUGCUUUCAAAUAGAUUGCUGGUUUGAAUACUAAGUGCUUGACGCUCUUUGUUUACUCUACAGAAACGUAUGUGAAUGGAACUGUGGUUUCUCAUAAUGCCUAUUAAGUAGAGAAAGAGCUAGCUUAGUGUUUGGGUUAGUUCAUACCAUUGAAGUCAUCUUUCGAGAUGACUUGAACCAUGGUCUCAAAUCAGGUAGGAAGACCCGCUGAACUUAAGCAUAUCAAUAAGCGGAGG
rnacentral:rRNA from 1 species